UGGCACAGGGAAGAACGCAGUCCAGAAGUCCUUAAAAAAGUACCCAUUGUUGAACCAGGCCCUCUGAAGUUAGGGCCCCACAAGAACAAAAUUCCACAAUCCCAGCAGUGCUACCUAAUGUCGCCUGGUUCCCCGAGGUAAGGCCUCCUGUGUAGAAAAGAGCUCUCACAGCACGCCUGAGACUUCUCUUCCUAGAAAAACCUGCUGCAGGGGAAGGAGCAGACAGGAGAAAAUAAUAGAAUAUACCAUUUAUGCUGGGAAAUGUAUUGAGUCAACUUAAUUGCUCUACAGAAACCCUGGGCUUAAAUACUAACACCAUGAAGGACAAGAGUCUGUGUCUCCCCUCCCAAGAAGACAAAACAUUGCUAACUCAAAAACCACUGGAAAGGUGAGUAAUUUCUUAUCAAAGCCAAGCCAUUCAGUAUUAUUUGUGUGGCUGCCAGUGUUGUUUCAAAUAAG
rnacentral:antisense_RNA from 1 species